rnacentral:tRNA from 1 species
GCGGAUAUGGUGUAAUGGUAACAUUUAGCCCUUCCAAGGCUGCGUUGCGGGUUCAAAUCCCGUUAUCCGCUCCA